UACGUAGGGUGCGAGCGUUAAUCGGAAUUACUGGGCGUAAAGCGUGCGCAGGCGGUUUUGUAAGCCAGAUGUGAAAGCCCCGGGCCUAACCCGUGGGAAUGGCAUUUGGGACUGCAAGGCUGGAGUGUGGCAGAGGAGACUGGAAUUCCUGGUGUAGCAGUGAAAUGCGUAGAUAUCAGGAGGAAUACCGAUGGCGAAGGCAGGUCUCUGGGCUGACACUGACGCUCAUGCACGAAAGCGUGGGGAGCAAACAGG
rnacentral:rRNA from 1 species